rnacentral:SRP_RNA from 1 species
CUGUGCUAAGCGGGGAGCUAGCGGUGCCCUGUACCUGAAAUCCGCUAUAGCAGGGCUGAAUUCCUUUCUGAGAGACCCGGUUUGAUAGCAGUUUCUGAAACAAAAAGCCGGCCUCGGGUCCUGUGCAAUACAGGUUUACCGAACUCCGUCAGGUCCGGAAGGAAGCAGCGGUAAGUAAACCCCGUAUGUGCCGCAGUAAACCUGAAUCGCCGCUUUUGUGGAAUGAACUCCAUUAAAUCAUCCCGAAGUUAGGUGCACAG